GACGAACGCUGGCGGCGCGCUUAACACAUGCAAGUCGAACGGAAAGGCCUGCUUUCCCUUGUGGAUUGCGGGUACUCGAGUGGCGAACGGGUGAGUAACACGUGAGUGAUCUGCCCCCAACUUGGGUAUAAGCCUGGGAAACUGGGUCUAAUUCCCGAUAGGACUGCAGGGUGGUGCCUGUGGUGGAAAACGAUUUUCUAGUGGUUGGGGAUGAGCUCGCGGCCUAUCAGCUUGUUGGUGGGGUAAUGGCCUACCAAGGCGGCGACGGGUAGCCGGCCUGAGAGGGUGGACGGCCACAUUGGGACUGAGAUACGGCCCAGACUCCUACGGGAGGCAGCAGUGGGGAAUAUUGCACAAUGGGCGGAAGCCUGAUGCAGCGACGCCGCGUGGGGGAUGACGGCCUUCGGGUUGUAAACUCCUUUCGACCGCGAGGAAGCCACCUGGUUGGAAGGGUGGUGACGGUAGAGGUAGAAGAAGCACCGGCUAACUACGUG
rnacentral:rRNA from 1 species